rnacentral:rRNA from 1 species
GAUGAACGCUAGCUACAGGCUUAACACAUGCAAGUCGAGGGGCAGCAUGAACUUAGCUUGCUAAGUUUGAUGGCGACCGGCGCACGGGUGAGUAACACGUAUCCAACCUUCCGUUUACUCAGGGAUAGCCUUUCGAAAGAAAGAUUAAUACCUGAUAGUAUGGUGAGAUUGCAUGAUAACACCAUUAAAGAUUUAUUGGUAAACGAUGGGGAUGCGUUCCAUUAGGUAGUAGGCGGGGUAACGGCCCACCUAGCCUGCGAUGGAUAGGGGUUCUGAGAGGAAGGUCCCCCCACAUUGGAACUGAGACACGGUCCAAACUCCUACGGGAGGCAGCAGUGAGGAAUAUUGGUCAAUGGGCGAGAGCCUGAACCAGCCAAGUAGCGUGAAGGAUGAAGGUCCUACGGAUUGUAAACUUCUUUUAUACGGGAAUAAAACCUCCCACGUGUGGGAGCUUGUAUGUACCUUAUGAAUAAGCAUCGGCUAACUCCGUGCCAGCAGCCG